GACAGAGGGGGCAAGCGUUGCUCGGAAUCACUGGGCGUAAAGGGCGCGUAGGCGGGAUGGCAAGUCGGUCGUGAAAUCUCUCGGCUCAACCGAGAAACGUCGGCCGAUACUGCCGUUCUUGAGGGAGGCAGAGGAGACUGGAAUUCCCGGUGUAGCGGUGAAAUGUGUAGAGAUCGGGAGGAACACCGGUGGCGAAGGCGGGUCUCUGGGCACUUCCUGACGCUGAGGCGCGAAAGCGUGGGGAGCAAACGGG
rnacentral:rRNA from 1 species